rnacentral:rRNA from 1 species
AUUGAACGCUGGCGGCAGGCUUAACACAUGCAAGUCGAGCGAGUGGCGGACGGGUGAGUAAUGUCUGGGAAACUGCCUGAUGGCGGGGGAUAACUACUGGAAACGGUAGCUAAUACCGCAUACCAUCAGAUGUGCCCAGAUGGGAUUAGCUAGUAGGUGGGGUAAUGGCUCACCUAGGCGACGAUCCCUAGCUGGUCUGAGAGGAUGACCAGCCACACUGGAACUGAGACACGGUCCAGACUCCUACGGGAGGCAGCAGUGGGGAAUAUUGCACAAGGGGGGCAAGCCUGAUGCAGCCAUGCCGCGUGUAUGAAGAAGGCCGUCGGGUUGUAAAGUACUUUCAGCGAGGAGGCGUUACUCGCAGAAGAAGCACCGGCUAACUCCGUGCCAGCAGCCGCGGUAAUUC